rnacentral:tRNA from 1 species
ACUUAUUUAAUAUAUUAAGUAUAUUUGACUUCCAAUCAAAAAGUUUGUAUUACAAAAUAAGUA